AGGGAUGUGGCUCAAGAGGUAAAGCUCAUGCCUAGCAAGCAUGAAGCCCUGAGUUCAAGCCCCAGUACUACAA
rnacentral:tRNA from 1 species